ensembl:lncRNA
GUCAACUCUUUGCGCUGAUAGGUUUAAAUUGCUGCCCUGCAGAGGGCCUGCUUUAGCCUGGCCGGUGGUUGACUGGAGUCUGAGGCCAUGAGCACUGUCGCUGUGACUCGGGCGGCCGCGGGACCAGCCUCUAGGCCAGCUUCCUGCCUCACUCCGCCGAGAAUUGGACCGACAGAUCCCCUUCGCCCCCGAACCAAAAUGACAGCAGAUCUCAUACGCGCGKUAAUCUUCCCUCAAAACUCUUGGAGGCCUUGGGAUGGGAUUUAGGACCCACUAAGCAGGCCUGCUUUUCCCACCGUCUUUCUCUGUCCUCUCCAGUACAGACUCCAGCCACAGCCGAGUCUCUGUUCUUGAACUAGGCAGACUUCUUCAUUCUGUCCCUCUGCUGGAGUAACUGCCCAUCUCUCAGGCUGCCUGGCUAUCAGAGUUCCUUGACAGCUGGUCCCCUUCAAGCACACUAACGUCUGUCCAGUGUUUACCUCUUUUAUAGCACUGUGGGCUGUGCAAAUUAAAUGAGUUUGUUAUCAGCA